rnacentral:rRNA from 1 species
GGGGGGCAAGCGUUGUUCGGAAUUACUGGGCGUAAAGGGCUCGUAGGCGGCCAACUAAGUCAGACGUGAAAUCCCUCGGCUUAACCGGGGAACUGCAUCUGAUACUGGAUGGCUUGAGUUCGGGAGAGGGAUGCGGAAUUCCAGGUGUAGCGGUGAAAUGCGUAGAUAUCUGGAGGAACACCGGUGGCGAAGGCGGCAUCCUGGACCGACACUGACGCUGAGGAGCGAAAGCCAGGGGAGCAAACGGG